UACGUAGGGUGCGAGCGUUGCCCGGAUUUAUUGGGCGUAAAGGGCGCGUAGGCGGUCACGCACGUCCGUUGUGAAAUCGCUCGGCUCAACUGGGCGGGGUCAGCGGAUACGGCGUGGCUGGAGCAAGCUAGGGGGCAAUGGAAUUCCCGGUGUAGUGGUGGAAUGCGUAGAUAUCGGGAGGAACACCAGUGGCGAAGGCGGUUGCCUGGAGCUUUGCUGACGCUGAUACGCGAAAGCGUGGGGAGCGAUCCGG
rnacentral:rRNA from 1 species